UCUCUGUUAGUAUAUCGGUUAGUACACGCGCCUGUCAUGCCUGUGUGGACGAAAGAAAGUUCCUUCUUCCUUGGCCGCGCGAAAGCUGGGUUCGACUCCCAGACAGAGAG